UACGGAGGGGGCUAGAGUUGAUCGGCAUUACUGGGCGUAAAGCGCGCGUAGGCGGGCUGUUAAGUCGGGGGUGAAAUCCCGGGGCUCAACCCCGGAACUGCCUUCGAUACUGGCAGCCUAGAGGAAGGCAGAGGCUAGUGGAAUGGCGAGUGUAGAGGUGAAAUUCGUAGAUAUUCGCCGGAACACCAGUGGCGAAGGCGACUGGCUGGGCCUUUUCUGACGCUGAGGUGCGAAAGCGUGGGGAGCAAACAGG
rnacentral:rRNA from 1 species